AUUGAACGCUGGCGGCAUGCUUUACACAUGCAAGUCGAACGGAUCUAGGGGCUUGCUCCUAGGUUAGUGGCGAACGGGUGAGUAAUGCAUCGGAACGUACCGUGUAGUGGGGGAUAACCUGGCGAAAGUCAGAUUAAUACCGCAUACGAUCUACGGAUGAAAGCGGGGGACCUUCGGGCCUCGCGCUAUACGAGCGGCCGAUGUCUGAUUAGCUAGUUGGUGGGGUAAAGGCCUACCAAGGCGACGAUCGGUAGCUGGUCUGAGAGGACGAUCAGCCACCAUGGGACGGAGACACGGCCCAGACUCCUACGGGAGGCAGCAGUGGGGAAUUUUGGACAAUGGGCGAAAGCCUGAUCCAGCAAUGCCGCGUGUGUGAAGAAGGCCUUCGGGUUGUAAAGCACUUUUGUCCGGAAAGAAAUGGCUCUGGUUAAUACCUGGGGUCGAUGACGGUACCGGAAGAAUAAGGACCGGCUAACUACGUGCCAGCCGCCGCUGUAAAAC
rnacentral:rRNA from 1 species